ACCGCAAGGUUGAAACUCAAAGGAAUUGACGGGGGCCCGCACAAGCGGUGGAGCAUGUGGUUUAAUUCGAAGCAACGCGAAGAACCUUACCAGGUCUUGACAUCCUUUGACCACUCUAGAGAUAGAGCUUUCCCUUCGGGGACAAAGUGACAGGUGGUGCAUGGUUGUCGUCAGCUCGUGUCGUGAGAUGUUGGGUUAAGUCCCGCAACGAGCGCAACCCUUAUUGUUAGUUGCCAUCAUUAAGUUGGGCACUCUAGCGAGACUGCCGGUGACAAACCGGAGGAAGGUGGGGAUGACGUCAAAUCAUCAUGCCCCUUAUGACCUGGGCUACACACGUGCUACAAUGGACAGUACAAUGAGCAGCGACACGGCGACGUGAAGCGAAUCUCAUAAAGCUGUUCUCAGUUCGGAUUGUAGGCUGCAACUCGCCUACAUGAAGCCGGAAUCGCUAGUAAUCGCGGAUCAGCACGCCGCGGUGAAUACGUUCCCGGGCCUUGUACACACCGCCCGUCACACCACGAAAGUUUGUAACACCCGAAGUCGGUGAGGUAACCGCAAGGAGCCAACCGCCUAAGGUGGGAUAGAUGAUUGGGGUGAAGUCGUAACAAGGUAACCAAGGGCGAAUUCUG
rnacentral:rRNA from 1 species